UCUUGUUCUAAGCUUUAACGCCAGAAGAUGAACCCGCGUAGGAUUAGCUAGUUGGUGUGGUAAAGGCGCACCAAGGCGACGAUUCUUAGCUGGUCUGAGAGGAUGAUCAACCCCACUGGGACUGACACACGGCCCACACUCCUACGGGAGGCAGCAGUGGGGAAUAUUGGACAAUGGGCGAAAGCCUGAUCCAGCAAUGCCGCGUGAGUGAUGAAGGCCUUAGGGUUGUAAAGCUCUUUUACCCGGGAUGAUAAUGACAGUACCGGGAGAAUAAGCUCCGGCUAACUCCGUGCCAGCAGCCGCGGUAAUACGGAGGGAGCUAGCGUUAUUCGGAAUUACUGGGCGUAAAGCGCACGUAGGCGGCUUUGUAAGUUAGAGGUGAAAGCCUGGAGCUCAACUCCAGAAUUGCCUUUAAGACUGCAUCGCUUGAAUCCAGGAGAGGUGAGUGGAAUUUCGAGUGUAGAGGUGAAAUUCGUAGAUAUUCGGAAGAACACCAGUGGCGAAAGCGGCUCACUGGACUGGUAUUGACGCUGAGGUGCGAAAGCGUGGGGAGCACACAGGAUUAGAUACCCUGGUAGUCCACGCCGUAAACGAUGAUAACUAUCUGUCGGGGCUCUUAGAGCUUCGGUGGCGCAGCUAACGCAUUAAGUUAUCCGCCUGGGGAGUACGGCCGCAAGGUUAAAACUCAAAUGAAUUGACGGGGGCCUGCACAAUCGGUGGAGCAUGUGGUUUAUUUCAAAGCAACGCGCAUAACCUUACCAGCGUUUGACAUGUCCGGACGAUUUCGGGAGACCGAUCUCUUCCCUUCGGGGACUGGAACACAGGUGCUGCAUGGCUGUCGUCAGCUCGUGUCGUGAGAUGUUGGGUUAAGUCCCGCAACGAGCGCAACCCUCGUCCUUAGUUGCCAUCAUUUAGUUGGGCACUCUAAGGAAACCGCCGGUGAUAAGCCGGAGGAAGGUGGGGAUGACGUCAAGUCCUCAUGGCCCUUACGCGCUGGGCUACACACGUGCUACAAUGGCGGUGACAGUGGGCAGCAAUCUCGCAAGGGUGAGCUAAUCUCCAAAAGCCGUCUCAGUUCGG
rnacentral:rRNA from 1 species